rnacentral:rRNA from 1 species
GACGAACGCUGGCGGCGUGCUUAACACAUGCAAGUCGAACGGAAAGGCCCUGCUUGCAGGGUACUCGAGUGGCGAACGGGUGAGUAACACGUGGGUGAUCUGCCCUGCACUUCGGGAUAAGCCUGGGAAACUGGGUCUAAUACCGGAUAGGACCAUCGUUUAGUGUCGGUGGUGGAAAGUUUUUCGGUGCAGGAUGAGCUCGCGGCCUAUCAGCUUGUUGGUGGGGUAAUGGCCUACCAAGGCGUCGACGGGUAGCCGGCCUGAGAGGGUGGACGGCCACAUUGGGACUGAGACACGGCCCAGACUCCUACGGGAGGCAGCAGUGGGGAAUAUUGCACAAUGGGCGCAAGCCUGAUGCAGCGACGCCGCGUGGGGGAUGAAGGCCUUCGGGUUGUAAACUCCUUUCAACCAUGACGAAGCGUAAGUGACGGUAGUGGUAGAAGAAGCACCGGCUAACUACGUGCCAGCCGCCGCCGUAA